AUUUUUUCCAACCUUAUUUAUCAUAAAAGUUUAAGUUACAUGCAGACUUAGCAUACUAGCAGGUUUUUACAGCAAAAUAAAAUUCUAAAAAAUACAGCUCAUAUUGCUUUAAGGAAUCCAAUUUGUGAUGAAAUAAAGUCAAACUCUUAAAAGAUUAUCAAUAUAAAUUGGUUUAAUUAUUUCAUGAAUGAACCUGUUUUUGUAUGAUUUGUUGAUGAGACUUUUAAGGGCAUUUCUGAGUAAUUAUGUAUUUAUUCUAAAAGAACCCCUUGUUGUGCAACUGAUGAGCUAUUUAACGAGAGAUAGAUGUGUUUAUACUUGUAUUAUAUUGAGUGUUAUAUAUACUGUUAUUGCCCAUAAUGAACAUCCAAAAUAAAAUAAAGUUUUAUCAGU
rnacentral:misc_RNA from 1 species